AUUGAACGCUGGCGGCAGGCCUAACACAUGCAAGUCGAGCGGAUGAAGGGAGCUUGCUCCUGGAUUCAGCGGCGGACGGGUGGGUAAUGCCUAGGAAUCUGCCUGGUAGUGGGGGAUAACGUCCGGAAACGGGCGCUAAUACCGCAUACGUCCUGAUGGAGAAAGUGGGGGAUCUUCGGACCUCGCGCUAUCUGAUGAGCCUAGGUCGGAUUAGCUAGUUGGUGGGGUAACGGCCUACCAAGGCGACGAUCCGUAACUGGUCUGAGAGGAUGAUCAGUCACACUGGAACUGAGACACGGUCCAGACUCCUACGGGAGGCAGCAGUAGGGAAUAUUGGACAAUGGGCGAAAGCCUGAUCCAGCCAUGCCGCGUGUGUGAAGAAGGUCUUCGGAUUGUAAAGCACUUUAAGUUGGGAGGAAGGGCAGUAAGUUAAUACCUUGCUGUUUUGACGUUACCAACAGAAUAAGCACCGGCUAACUUCGUG
rnacentral:rRNA from 1 species